UUCACUGACAAAAAAUUUAUAUUUUUUACCCCAACAAAUUAGGUUGCUGAGGUUACUCUGAUGCAAGGGGUAUAAUAUACUCACUCUACCUAUAAAUAAGGAGUAGGACUUAGUACUGGUGAGAAAUGACUAAACUAUACCUAAUUUGCAUCCAUACGCUAUAACUAAUACUAAUGGCUAGUGUCGAAACUACCUAUAAAUGACUAAACUUUACCCAAUUUACAUUCCAACACUGUAACUAAUACUAUUGGCUAGUAUGAUCCAAACCGUCUCUGUCAAAACUACCUAUUGAAAUUGGUUAAGGCCCGCAAUGCGCAUUGCUUUAUGGGACUUCAUUGGAAGAAGAAUCAACCGGCGACUGUGGCGAGCCUCGCAGCGGAUGAAGUUAACUUCCAAUGGACGGGACAAAUUCAGAAGGCAGUGGUGUUGCAUCUUUUAUAUGCAUGGUUGUCCUGAAGUCAUUCUGGAACAGGGGUUGUGUUCAGGUGCGUGACAACUGACAACAUUGAGAAGACCCAGGAGCGGGAGAAGGGCAGCCUGAUGAAAGAAGGCGACAGUGUUUUGUGGUCACACCUGAGAUGAUGGUCCUGAAGAGGAACGAGAGGAGAUACUGGGCAUAUAAAUACAGGCACUGGUCAUCACAGUGGAGGACAAUCAUGAAAAGGUUGAGGACUUCACUGUGCCCAUCCCUGAAGUCCCUCCACUCGGUGCAGCAGCUCUUUCCACCAUACUGCCAUGCUCUGGGUUGUCCCUGCCACCAUCCACCUUUUGGGUCAUCCGUGCCGCCAGCCAUCACCGUGCCUGCAGCGCCUGGGUCAUCCGUGCCACUCCCCACCAUGCUGCCAGCCAUCACCGUGCCUGCAGCACCUGGGUCAUCCCUGCCACCAUCCACCGUGCCUUCAACGUCCACAGCACCACCGGAGCCAGUUUGCAGCUCUACUGGCCUCUCCAGUAUACAGUAUGCUGUAAUUGCUUAUGGUUUCUCUGAGUGGCCUGACCCCAACUAUCCUGACCCCGUAUCCCAACUAUUUACCACUAAACAAGUGAUUUUGUAAUAAGUAGGAGAUCUUUGCAAUGUUAUCAGUAUGGUUGGACUCUGAUGUUUCACUGCUGUAUGUCUUCCUCAAAGAGUAAAACGAAUUCUGAGUAUUCUUGGAUUUAGUCUUUGAAAAGUAGAGCAGCCCGUUUGUUUGAAACUGUUGUCCUGGACACCAAAUAGACUGGAACUGAUAUCCUUUUUUAAAAGAAACUGGUAUCCUUUUUAUGUGUGCAGUUUAAUGGUAGAACAGUAUACACUGAUGUGCCUUUAUCAGUAACAAAGUGAAAACGGAACAAAAUUUGACUAUUUCUGUCAAAAACUGCUACAAAUUCUACAUAUUGUUUAUAUAAACCUAGUUCUGGAGGAAGUCUGAGAGUUAUUGACAGUUGCCAUGUCUAGCUUCCGCCUUCGCGUAAAUUUAAAUCCCUCCUUCCCUCCUUCCCCUGUCAUGCGCAAAGGCUAUCCUAAUUGUCCCAGCACCUCCCCCUACUCCCUCAUCUUACUGGAUCACCCAGCUACAUGUCCCCUACGCUUAUGGAGUGGAAGCGGAUCUCGUGCCGCAUGAUCUCUGCAGGGUCCCAGGACAGAGACCAGCUAACAUCGAAUUAUGCCUAUUGACUAUGGUUACCAUACUCCAGGGCAAACUCGUGAAUGAAAUGGUCCUGUUGUUUAUGUUUGUUUACUUUUUGUGAGAUAAACUGAAACAUUGUGUAUCUGCUCAUUUUUCACAUUUUCCUGUUGGCGAUAUUCCUUUAAAUAAAACAUCUUGGUUGAUAUGCACAGGUUUGUUGUAAUUGUAAUUUCCCUGGUGGACGUUUGCACAGUAGAGGCAGAAAACACUG